UCAAACUCAACUCUGGUAACUCUUCUUUAACACAAAAUCAAGGAGAAGGACCAAGAAUUUUUGUGGUUUUGCUUACAAAUUUACAAAAUUACCCAAAGCCAAUUUUUUGGACUUUCCCUCUGUUUUGAGUUUUUCCCUUUUCCAACCUAUCUUUUUUUUUCCACCUUUUCCUUUAUUUCUUCUUCAUUUUUUUUUUUGAGUUUCUUCCUUGUUUUUCUCUCUUUUCCCCAGACUUUCAAACUUGUUUUUCUCUUUUUUUUUUUGUGAAAACCUAACCUGUUCAAACAUUGUUUUUCUCUACUUUUUUUACCCAUCCCAUGGGGUGAAGAAUACCCCUAUUUUUAGGCUAAAUUUGGACUUGAAAGUCCAGAUUUGAAGCCAAAAUUUUUAGAAAAUGCAAGAAUCGAUAAAUAAUUUGAAUUAUAAAUUUAAAUUUUCUGAAAUGAAUCUCCAAAUCGUGACCCCUUUUAGAGAUUUUAAUAGCAUAUUUGAACAAAUUUUCCAUUGUUAUUUGAAUUUAGGGUUGGAUUUCUCUAGUUUGCUGGUUUUACAGGCUAGAGAAAGAAAAAAGAGGAAAAAUAUUAUGCAAAGAUAGUAGCGAUUUGGAAAUAGCAACAGCUAUGGUGGUGACGCUGCCUGAGGGCUAGGUUUUCUUGUUUGAGCAUGGUGGAAUACAGGAUGAAGAAGAGAGAAGAAAAGAGUAGGGGCCAGUUUG
rnacentral:lncRNA from 1 species